ensembl:misc_RNA Metazoa_SRP Metazoan signal recognition particle RNA
GCAGGGGGUGGUGAUGUGUGCCUGUAGUCCUAACUACUUGGGAGGCUGAGACAAGAGGAUUGCUUGAGGCUGGAAGUUCUGGGCAGUACUAUGCUGUGCCAUUCUGGUGUCUGAACUUAGUGGCAUCAAUAUGGUGACCUCCCAAGAGUGGGUGACCACCAGAUUGCCUAAGCGGGGUGAACCUGCCCAUGUAGGAAAUAGAACAGGUUAAGACUCUUGUGUGGAUCAAUAGUGGGAUCACACCUGUGAAUAGCCACUACAAUAACACUACAGCCUGGGCAACAUAGUAAGACCCCAUCUCU